rnacentral:lncRNA from 1 species
UCAAAGGGCAGGCUGCACUUUUGGCUGGUGGCCAAGGUUCUGGAGGCAGCCGGUGAGGACCAGGCAUGCAGUGCGAACCGCUCGGGGCACCGGACAGCAUCCACUUCCCGCGCACCCACGAAGAGGGCAAUAUAAGAACUGGGCACUCAGCACGAUUUGCAAUUCAUGGGAGUUCUGGAAUUUUGAAUUUCAGAGGUUCUAGAAUGCUGGAACUUGCACCUUGGUGGUGUUCUAGAACUCUCAGGGAUACUGGAUUUCUAGAACUACAAAAGGGUCCUGCGUGAGGGGACAGAUCUCGCGGACUUUAGAGUUUCUCUCUGCCACCACUUAACUUUGAAGCUCCGUGAUGAUGUUGUGGGGCCCUUGGGGCCGCUGAAAUGUCUGGGCAGGGAAGAAAAAUAUCUGUAGAGUUCUGCGUCUUCCAGACAAUUGCUCUAUCUGUGUCUGUGUCUGUCUGUGACUCUGUCUGUGUAGCUGUCUGCUUGUCUCUCUCGGAUUCGGAGCUGACAGAAUUCAUAUCAGAAGAGUGAACGCAGGGACAUCUGUGUGCGGAAUGACUGUGCUGCUCGAACCUGCCAAUCGCUCCUGGCACGAGCUGGAAAACCUCUUGGCUGCCUCUCUUCAGGAGUAAAUUUGAAGAUCUAAGAAAUCACAGUCCUCCAUGUGUGCAAAGGAAGACCUAAAAGUGUUGAACCUAAGGGCAUAGCAAGAAGGUCUAGUUAUGCGUGAAGAAUUCCUGAACUGGGCCGGGUGCGGUGGCUCAUGCCUGUAAUCCCAGCACU